UUUCGAGGAAGUUUUCGGAUGGAAUUGGAAUUGACUGAGCGGCGGACGGGUGAGUAACGCGUGGGUAACCUGCCUCAUACAGGGGGAUAACAGUUAGAAAUGACUGCUAAUACCGCAUAAGCGCACAGGACCGCAUGGUCGAGUGUGAAAAACUCCGGUGGUAUGAGAUGGACCCGCGUCUGAUUAGCUGGUUGGUGGGGUAACGGCCUACCAAGGCGACGAUCAGUAGCCGACCUGAGAGGGUGACCGGCCACAUUGGGACUGAGACACGGCCCAAACUCC
rnacentral:rRNA from 1 species